GGUUUAGGAUUUAGGGUUUAGGAUUUAGGGUUUAGGGUUCAGAGUUUAGGGUUUAGGGUUUAGGGUUUAGAGUUUAGGGGUGGGGUUUAGGAUUUAGGAUUUAGGGUUAAGGGGUGGGGUUUAGGAUUUAGGGUUUAGGGUUUAGAAUUUAGGGUUUAGGGUUUAGAGUUUAGGGGUGGGGUUUAGGGUUUAGGUUUAGAGUUAAGGGGUGGAGUUUAGGAUUUAGGGUUUAUGGUUUAGAGUUUAGGUUUUAGGGUUUAGAGUUGGGGAGUGGAGUUUUGGGAUAAGAUUUCAAAUUUUGAAAAAUAAAAAAAAUUUAAAUUUUUCAAAAGAUAAAAUGCUAUUUUAGUCAUUUUAGUUU
rnacentral:lncRNA from 1 species